UACGGAGGGUGCAAGCGUUAUCCGGAUUCACUGGGUUUAAAGGGUGCGUAGGAGGGCAGGGAAGUCAGUGGUGAAAUCUCCGAGCUUAACUCGGAAACUGCCGUUGAUACUCUCUGUCUUGAAUACCGUGGAGGUGAGCGGAAUAUGUCAUGUAGCGGUGAAAUGCUUAGAUAUGACAUAGAACACCAAUUGCGAAGGCAGCUCGCUACACGAAUAUUGACUCUGAGGCGCGAAAGCGUGGGGAGCAAACAGG
rnacentral:rRNA from 1 species